UACGUAGGGGGCAAGCGUUGUCCGGAUUUAUUGGGCGUAAAGAGCGUGUAGGCGGCCGUACAGGUCAGCUGUGAAAACUCGAGGCUCAACCUCGAGACGUCGGUUGAAACCAUCUGGCUAGAGUCCGGAAGAGGAGUGUGGAAUUCCCGGUGUAGCGGUGAAAUGCGCAGAUAUCGGGAAGAACACCCGUGGCGAAGGCGGCACUCUGGGACGGUACUGACGCUGAGACGCGAAAGCGUGGGGAGCGAACAGG
rnacentral:rRNA from 1 species